rnacentral:rRNA from 1 species
UGGGGAAUAUUGCACAAUGGGCGCAAGCAUGAUGCAGCCAUGCCGCGUGUAUGAAGAAGGCCUUCGGGUUGUAAAGUACUUUCAGCGGGGAGGAAGGGAGUAAAGUUAAUACCUUUACUCAUUGACGUUACCCGCAGAAGAAGCACCGGCUAACUCCGUGCCAGCAGCCGCGGUAAUACGGAGGGUGCAAGCAUUAAUCGGAAUUACUGGGCGUAAAGCGCACGCAGGCGGUUUGUUAAGUCAGAUGUGAAAUCCCCGGGCUCAACCUGGGAACGGCAUCUGAUACUGGCAAGCGUGAGUCUCGUAGAGGGGGGUAGAAUUCCAGGUGGAGCGGUGAAAUGCGUAGAGAUCUGGAGGAAUACCGGUGGCGAAGGCGGCCCCCUGGACGAAGACUGACGCUCAGGUGCGAAAGCGUGGGGAGCAAACAGG